CCGGGGUUAACUCGGAGGAAGGUGGGGAUGACGUCAAAUCAUCAUGCCCCUUAUGUCUUGGGCUUCACGCAUGCUACAAUGGCCGGUACAGAGGGUUGCGAUACUGUGAGGUGGAGCUAAUCCCUAAAAGCCGGUCUCAGUUCGGAUUGGGGUCUGCAACUCGACCCCAUGAAGUCGGAAUCGCUAGUAAUCGCGUAACAGCAUGACGCGGUGAAUACGUUCCCGGGCCUUGUACACACCGCCCGUCACACCAUGGGAGUUGGAUUCACUCGAAGGCGUUGAGCUAACCCGCAAGGGAGGCAGGCGACCACAGUGGGUUUAGCGACUGGGGUGAAGUCGUAACAAGGUAGCCGUAUCGGAAGGUGCGGCUGGAUCACCUCCUU
rnacentral:rRNA from 1 species